UAAAAACCAAUAGUUAUGAUUGUUUGAAACAAACAAUUGUAUCUCUUUCAACCAAAAGUCGUGUCUAUUGAAAAACUAAUCGUUAUGACUAUUUAAAACAAACACUUGUAUUUGGUUGAACCAAAAGUGGUGUCUGUUGCAAAACCAAUAUUUGUGUCUACUUCAAUUGUGUCUAUUGGGAAUAAUCACCUGUGCUUACAAAAGACUUUCCUCUGGUUCAAAAGAACACAUUGAGAACAACAAACAAUCAUCACUCAUUCCUUUCUCAAUAUUCUCCACAUUUCUUCUAUAUCAUUUUUGUCACAACCCGGAACUCCCAUCGGGCCCGUGACAACCGCCGCGACGUCCCAAUAAGCACUCAUUACCCCGAAUGCCGAUCGAAACCCCGCAAGGCUUAGCAUCAACUUCCGCAUCUCCCCAGUGAGCGACAGUUAUUAGAUCUCGCAUUUCAAGAAAUCAUAAGUUGUUUCUAACUCAAAACAAUAAAAAUAUUAUUUUCUAGCUCACUGGGGCAUUUUCGUCAUUUUUUUUUUGAAAUUUCGAAAUCCGAAAAAAU
rnacentral:lncRNA from 1 species